ensembl:lncRNA
AUGCAAAUAGUGUUUGUUUGCUUUACUUCUCAGGCCUGGCCAGGAAACCUUCAAGUAGCAGCACUUUCCCUCCUAAGCAGGAAGGAAAAACUUCUCUCAGUAACCAAGAACGACCUAGACCUGCUGGAAGCUCUCAGCAGUGAGAGAUUUGUUGAGGUCUCAGGAGCUGCGAGUCCUCGUAUUCUUGCUUUUGUUCCCCCAGAUUUCCAACUGGUUUCAAAUUCUGCAAUUUUGACAUUUUCCUUCCUCAUGGACUGGGAAGAUGAUGCUGGCUGCCAGAAGGUUAUAGCAACCGUGUGGCUCAGCCUGCCCUUGCUGCUGUCCCCUUGCCUGCCUAACCUGGGCUCUGCUUUUCAUUUGUCCCCAGUGUCUUCAGGAAGUUUUUUUGUCUUUAGCUCCCACUUUUCAAGACUGAGCUAAACGCAUGAUUUUGGCAUUGCUAUUUAGUGAGUGUCUCACUUGGACUCUGCUCGAAUUUCUACAUCUUCACAACAGGGCUGACACUAAUUGCCUAUUUGCAAUGUAUUUCCAGACGCGUGGCUGCAGAGUGCUAUAUGAAAAAACAGGCAUUGUUAUUAUGAAACUUUCAGGGAAAAAAAAAAAUUAAUAGAUUCAAAUAACUCCAUGGUCAUUAAAACAAACCUUAUGUGGAUGGAGGAGACCAGAGCUGAAUAAACCUUGAGCAAACACAGCCUUUCAAUAUGAAACACACACUGGUUUUAAUCAGCGGUGCCAAAUAAGUUUUAUUUUCCGAGGUUUCUUUUCCCCUCAUCUCCUUCUUUCAAUAUUAUCAGUUGCAGAAGGGGAACAUUGCCCGGCUCCUGCUCUUAAUGAGUAUCAUUUUUAAAAAACAACAACAAAAUGCUCUGCUUGGGCUGGCCAAGUCUCAAGUUGCUUUCGGCUCCACUAGGAUCUCAGCCAGCCUUUGUGAGCAUGUCGUCCCGAAUUUAAAGCACCUCUAUUUUUCCCCAGAUUUUGGACAAAAUUGGGUUCAAAGCCCCACCAGCCAGGAGGGGAGCGCCGCCGACCACUGCCUUGCGUUCGCUUCCUUUAGGGCAGCCACGAAGCCAUUUUUCAUCCUGCCUCACCAAAGCCUCUCCGGUGUUUGUUUGGGAGACAGAAAUAGCUUUCUGCUAGGAGGAUGAUGAGGUUACACAUCCUGAGCCGUCACGGUGAAUCAACAGCCUGGAGCGGGGAGCUGCUGGGGCUGCUGGCUGCCUGCAAGGCGGGGAGUGGGAAUGGCCCUCGGAGGGGAGCGCGGCGUCCCUGGGGACAUCUCGGGGCUUUUCGGUGCCCUGGCUCCUCCACGAGGCUGGCAGCUCAGCCCUGAGGAUGCCACCAGCCCUGCAUGAGGGACAGCCUCCAACUGGCAGGGACAGGAGGAAAGGGGAACGUGCCUUCUGAUUUUGUCUUGCUAUUCUCACACCAAAUCCAAGCUCACCACUGGGGGAGGAAUUUGGAGGCAGCAGCUUGUACGCUGCAAAGGCUGGGAGAAAAUGGUGCAGCCAGCUCCUUGCUAACACACACCUAAUUUUUAGUAAAAGCUGUGAUGUCUGCUGACAAGUUGGUUUGUAGGUGCUCAAUUCAGCAACAAGGCUAACAGCUGAUGAUCGCAGAGGUCUUUUCCAACCUAAAUGCUUCUACGUCUUGCAAUGAGAUACGUGGAGGAGGGCUUUUGGGUGAUACUUGGCUCAGGCUCAUUCCUGCAUGGGAAGUCCUGAGCCUACUUUCCCUGUCUGGAAUAAACGAGCACCCUCCUGCUAAUGCCAUCAGGCCCUGUGACCAUGAGCUAGGCUCAGACGUGCUCUCGGUGGCUGCAGCAGCACAAAGUUGUGUAAUUCAUUGGCAAAAGUGCCUGUGCGUCUUGUUCCCUGGUUGUGGGUGUAGGUCCAAAUCAGUAAUGGUAUUUUUUUCACCUUCUCCUUUGUAAUUUCACCAGAUUGUAGACAUGUAGUGUAGACAUGAUUCCACGUAAAUAUAUUUUGUCCUCAACUAAGCUGAGUCCAUCAGGCUGCAUUUGUUGCUGGUGAAGAUUGUGCACAGAGACGUGCGGUAACUUCUAAGCAGCUGCCAGCUCCUGGUGAUGCUGAGCUCCCCGCUUCUCAGCUCAGCUGGCCAACGUUUCUGUGCUAAAACCGGUGAUGUUGGGUUCAGAUAUAACCCAGCCUGAGGUCUCUAACAGUGGCACAGACAUUCCCUGUCAACAAAUACUCUCAAACAGUGACGACAGUGCCCUAAAGCAAUUUCCUUCUGAAGCUGCUGGAGGUGACGGCUGACUCAGAAAAGCUUGGGAGCCUCCAGAUUCUUCGGCUGGGUGGGAUGUGC